AUUGAACGCUGGCGGCAGGCUUAACACAUGCAAGUCGGACGAGUGGCGGACGGGUGAGUAAUGCUUGGGAAUCUAGCUUAUGGAGGGGGAUAACUACUGGAAACUGUAGCUAAUACCGCGUACCAUAGGAUGAGCCCAAGUGGGAUUAGGUAGUUGGUGAGGUAAAGUCUCACCAAGGCGACGAUCUCUAGCUGGUCUGAGAGGAUGACCAGCAACACGGGGACUGAGACACGGCCCAGACUCCGACGGGAGGAAGCAGUGGGGAAUAUUGCGCAAUGGGGGCAACCUGACGCAGCCAUGCCGCGUGAAUGAAGAAGGCCUUCGGGUUGUAAAGUACUUUCGGUAGCGAGGCGUUAACGACAGAAGAAGCACCGGCUAACUCCGUGCCAGCAGCCGCGGUAAUAC
rnacentral:rRNA from 1 species